rnacentral:rRNA from 1 species
AGCGAACGUUUGCGGCGGGCUUAACACAUGCAAGUCGAACGGGCUGUUCCUUCGGGGGCAGUCAGUGGCGCACGGGUGCGUAACACGUAGGUAAUCAACCCUCUGGUUGGGGAUAACACUUCGAAAGGAGUGCUAAUACCCGGUAUGGCGCAGCGGUCUUCGGAUCGCGGCGAGAAAGACCCGCAAGGGUUGCCAGAGGACGAGCCUGCGGCCCAUCAGCUAGUUGGCGAGGUAACGGCUCACCAAGGCGAAGACGGGUAGCUAGUCUGAGAGGAUGAUCAGCCACACUGGAACUGAGACGCGGUCCAGACUCCUACGGGAGGCAGCAGUGGGGAAUAUUGCGCAAUGGGCGAAAGCCUGACGCAGCCACGCCGCGUGAGCGAUGAAGGCC